rnacentral:ncRNA from 1 species
AACACUGUGCCAAAAAGAUAAACUUCUCUUAGACACAAGCGUCUUCAGAGAAUUUCCUAUUUUGGUUUUGUGUU